UCUGACUCUGUUUUGGGUGAUUCCCCUCAUUUGGGUAAAUGCCCACCCUCAGGUCAAUAGUUCCUAAUAAAUCAAUGAUUCAUUUUGAGUUGCUGGUUCACAUUGAAGAGUUAAAAGAACAAAAGAAUUAUUAUUUAAUUCUUUUAGUAAAAAUACUCUGUUCAAGUGUUUCUGUGUUUUUCAUUUUGAACUUAUAUGCUUUUGUUUUUUUUUUGUCUUUCUUUUG